UGGAAGGCUGAGUGGGCAAAAAACCUGUUAACCCAGACAGAUCCGAAAGGAAGCAUCUGUAGCAAAGUUUUUUGGGUCAUAAUGCCUUCCUUUA
rnacentral:SRP_RNA from 1 species